rnacentral:rRNA from 1 species
UACGAGAGGCCCAAACGUUAUUCGGAAUUACUGGGCUUAAAGAGUUCGUAGGCGGCAUUGCAAGUAGGGUGUGAAAGCCCUCGGCUCAACCGAGGAAUUGCGCUCUAAACUGCAGUGCUCGAGGAAGCUAGAGGUGAGCAGAACAGAUGGUGGAGCGGUGAAAUGCGUAGAUAUCAUUUGGAACGCCAAUGGUGAAAACAGCUCGCUGGGGGUUUGCUGACGCUGAGACACGAAAGCCAGGGGAGCAAACGGG